rnacentral:rRNA from 1 species
GACGUAGGGCGCGAGCGUUGUCCGGAUUUAUUGGGCGUAAAGAGCUCGUAGGCGGCUCGUUGCGUCGGCUGUGAAAACCCGCAGCUCAACUGUGGGCUUGCAGCUGAUACGGGCGGGCUGGAGUUCGGUAGGGGAGACUGGAAUUCCUGGUGUAGCGGUGAAAUGCGCAGAUAUCAGGAGGAACACCGAUGGCGAAGGCAGGUCUCUGGGCCGAUACUGACGCUGAGGAGCGAAAGCGUGGGGAGCGAACAGG